GCUAAAAAUGCAGUCGAGCGGACAGGAUGGGAGCUUGCUCCCUGAUGUUAGCGGCGGACGGGUGAGUAACACGUGGGUAACCUGCCUGUAAGACUGGGAUAACUCCGGGAAACCGGGGCUAAUACCGGAUGCUUGUUUGAACCGCAUGGUUCAAACAUAAAAGGUGGCUUCGGCUACCACUUACAGAUGGACCCGCGGCGCAUUAGCUAGUUGGUGAGGUAACGGCUCACCGAGGCAACGAUGCGUAGCCGACCUGAGAGGGUGAUCGGCCACACUGGGACUGAGACACGGCCCAGACUCCUACGGGAGGCAGCAGUAGGGAAUCUUCCGCAAUGGACGAAAGUCUGACGGAGCAACGCCGCGUGAGUGAUGAAGGUUUUCGGAUCGUAAAGCUCUGUUGU
rnacentral:rRNA from 1 species